UUAAAACAACAGCAAGGUUGAUAUGGAGAUUUGCACUGUACUGAUCUUUUCCUUCCUUGUCUGCUGGACCACGUUUUCAAGUGGAGGUAUUUCCUUAUAAUAAGAACUCUGAACAUAUGGAGCAUAUGGUGUCACUACACAGGGAAGCAUUUCCCAAAUUGCUGUGCUGUUUAGGAUGGCUGCACUACACUCAUCUAGAGGCAGCCAUAGUGUGAAGCAGCUGGUCAGCAAUAACAGCUUAUCUUCAUAAAUAAGCCAUCACCACUGAUGAAGAGGUGCUCCUACAUCCUCACAGCUGAUGGAU